GGGAGCAAUGGAGUGGAAUUCAUAGAGUCAAUGCAACAGAGACAGCAAGGUUGCUCAAUGGAUGGAGAACUAGGCCUGGAGACAGAAGCUACUACAAUUCUGCUUUGCUCAUAGAGCAUGUUGCCUUCUUUGAUGCAGUCAUAGUCCUAUGCUCCUGAGGAAACUUAAAUGCCAAUGCUAGUAAAUGGAAACCAUCAGGGUUUAUCAGAUCCAUCUGUGGCUUCUCCCAGAGUAUGGGAAGAAUGAGCUCAUUCCCUGCCAAAGAAGAAUGUGGGAAGGACAAGCGGAAUAUUCCCCAGAAAUGGAAGGGCACCAUGAACAAGAUGCUGCCUACUUUC
rnacentral:lncRNA from 1 species